rnacentral:rRNA from 1 species
CCGGAUACGACGAUCGGAGGCAUCUCCUGGUCGUGGAAAGAACUUCGGUCAAGGAUCAGCUCACGGCCUAUCAGCUAGUUGGUGAGGUAACGGCUCACCAAGGCGACGACGGGUAGCCGGCCUGAGAGGGUGACCGGCCACACUGGGACUGAGACACGGCCCAGACUCCUACGGGAGGCAGCAGUGGGGAAUAUUGCACAAUGGGCGCAAGCCUGAUGCAGCAACGCCGCGUGAGGGACGAAGGCCUUCGGGUUGUAAACCUCUUUUAGCAGGGAAGAAGCGAAAGUGACGGUACCUGCAGAAAAAGCACCGGCUAACUACGUGCCAGCAGCCGCGGUAAUACGUAGGGUGCAAGCGUUGUCCGGAAUUAUUGGGCGUAAAGAGCUCGUAGGCGGUUUGUCACGUCUGCUGUGAAAACCCGAGGCUCAACCUCGGGCUUGCAGUGGGUACGGGCAGACUAGAGUGCGGUAGGGGAGAUUGGAAUUCCUGGUGUAGCGGUGGAAUGCGCAGAUAUCAGGAGGAACACCGAUGGCGAAGGCAGAUCUCUGGGCCGUAACUGACGCUGAGGAGCGAAAGCAUGGGGAGCAAACAGGCUUAGAUACCCUGGUAGUCCAUGCCG